rnacentral:rRNA from 1 species
GGUAGGGGAGCGUUCCCAGGGCGGAGAAGCUGAACUGGAAGGUUUGGUGGAGCGCUGGGAAGUGAGAAUGCCGGUAUGAGUAGCGAAAAGACAAGUGAGAAUCUUGUCCGCCGAAAGCCUAAGGGUUCCUGGGGAAGGCUCGUCCACCCAGGGUAAGUCGGGACCUAAGCGGAGGCCGAAGGGCGUACGCGAAGGGCAACGGGUAGAGAUUCCCGUACCACCGAGAUGCGUUUGACCGAUGGGGGGACGCAGGAGGAACAGGGGAGCGGCCGAAUGGAAGAGGCCGUCCAAGCACUGAGAGGGUCACGCAGGAAAAACCGCGUGGCAGACCUCAAGGUGUGAUGGGGAGCGAAGCAAAGUAGCGAAGCCCUGGGUUUCACACUGCCAAGAAAAGCCUCUAGGGAGUGUCAAGGUGCCCGUACCGUAAACCGACACAGGUAGGCGAGGAGAGAAUCCUCAGGCGCGCGGGAGAACUCUCGUUAAGGAACUCUGCAAAAUGGCCCCGUAACUUCGGGAGAAGGGGCGCUCUGAGAAGAGCCGCAGUGAAAAGGCCCAAGCGACUGUUUAGCAAAAACACAGGUCUCUGCAAAGCCGAAAGGCGAAGUAUAGGGGCUGACGCCUGCCCGGUGCUGGAAGGUUAAGAGGAGGGGUUAGCCCGCAAGGGCGAAGCUCAGAAUUGAAGCCCCAGUAAACGGCGGCCGUAACUAUAACGGUCCUAAGGUAGCGAAAUUCCUUGUCAGGUAAGUUCUGACCCGCACGAAUGGCGUAACGACUUGGGCGCUGUCUCAACGAGAGACCCGGUGAAAUUGUAAUACCUGUGAAGAUGCAGGUUACCCGCGGCUAGACGGAAAGACCCCGUGGAGCUUGACUGCAGCUUGAUAUGGAGGAAGGGUACGUCAUGUACAGGAUAGGUGGGAGACUGGGAAGCAGAGGCGCAAGCCUGUGUGGAGUCGACGUUGGGAUACCACCCUUGAGGUACUUUUCUUCUCACUUGGCGCCCUGAAGCGGGCGUGAGGACAGUGUCAGGUGGGCAGUUUGACUGGGGCGGUCGCCUCCUAAAAGGUAACGGAGGCGCCCAAGGGUUCCCUCAGCGCGGUUGGAAAUCGCGCGUGGAGUGUAAAGGCACAAGGGAGCUUGACUGCGAGACGUACAGGUCGAGCAGGGACGAAAGUCGGGCUUAGUGAUCCGGCGGCACUGCGUGGAAGGGCCGUCGCUCAACGGAUAAAAGCUACCCCGGGGAUAACAGGCUGAUCUCCCCCAAGAGUCCACAUCGACGGGGAGGUUUGGCACCUCGAUGUCGGCUCAUCGCAUCCUGGGGCUGAAGUCGGUCCCAAGGGUUGGGCUGUUCGCCCAUUAAAGCGGUACGCGAGCUGGGUUCAGAACGUCGUGAGACAGUUCGGUCCCUAUCUGCCGUGGGCGUAGGAGUUGUGAGAGGGGUCGUCCUUAGUACGAGAGGACCGGGAUGAACCGACCGCUGGUGUUCCAGUUGUGCCGCCAGGUGCAGCGCUGGGUAGCUACGUCGGGACGGGAUAAGCGCUGAAAGCAUCUAAGCGCGAAGCCCCCCUCAAGAUGACAACUCCCGCUCGAAAGAGGUAAGACCCCUUGUAGACGACAAGGUAGAUCGGUCCGGUGUGGAAGCACGGUGACGUGCGGAGCAGACGGAUACGAAUCGGUCGAGGGCUUAUCCAAC